GGAACAGUGGGAAGUUUCUGUGCAGAACAGGAUUCUUGGAGAGGAUGCACCACUGCCAGGAUAUGGUGCUCUUCAAUGAAAGGUUGAACAAACUACCACUGCGUAGCCUAACGGAGCAAAAAAGAUGAGGUGUUUGGUUUACUUGCGGGGCAACAGAAGUUACUCUGCAGUUUGCAGUGCGGGUGAGCAGCAAAACAGCUUGUGGAAUUUCUGAACACACCCUGGCUCCUGUGGUUACUUUCGAUUCUCAGGACUGAGGCUCCUACUCAAUGCCACACACAGAUUUCCAGCUGGUGUUAAGGCGCACACACUGCCCUCCGAGGCACCUCACUCCCAGGAACAUGACCUCUUGGAGUGAUGCCUCAUGGCUGUGGGCACCCUGCAUUGCCCAGGGGUUGACUGCCAGUGCCCAGCACCCUGCCGCCAGACCUGCCCUCCCCCUCCCAGACCCCGGGGACUGGUGCCCAUGCUUGGACUCUAUCCAGCAGGAGCACACUCUGGCUGGCACUUGGGAGCAAGCCCAGGCAGCCCCUUCAUGUUUUGUCUGAGUCUUGACUCAGCUGGAGAUUCUCUCAAUCUAUGGAACUGAUGCUGGAGCUAAAGAAGAAAGAACACCUGCUCUCUGCAUGACCUGAAGAAAUUCAGCCUUCCUACCAAAGUCUCCUCUGCUGUUGAAAAGCUUUGUAAGAUUUUGCAUAAAUGGGUGUGUGAUUGAAAAAGGCCUUGCUGCAAAGCAGCCAGGGCUGCUGGAUCUUUGUACGUGGGAGCAAAGCCCUGUAUAAUGGAAGAGAGGUGAGGUGAGUUUUUUCUGGAGUCUCUGUGAUUUACUAACCCGAGUAAAAGAAAACUUAAAAAUGACAUCUGUAGCGUGCAUGAUAAGAAGGAAGGAUGGAAGACACGCACUAUGUGGAUUUUUUAUUUAAUGACAAAGAUGUUUUCAUUGUAUCAGUUCCUGCAUUAGAAGAGCUAGUGUGGCACAUUUGCUUAUGGAGUCCUUGUAGCUUCUGCAGGUUGCCUUCCAAGCACCAUUGUGUUGCUGUGCUGCUUCAGCUCCUCUUCUUUGCAGGUUUUUAGCAUUAGAAAAGGCUUGCAAUCAUUGCAGAGCAUAAGGGACAUAACUUUUACUUAGCACUGCAUGUUUUUAUAUGGAAAACUUGCACACAUGUAUACAUAUAAAUACACACACAUAAACAAAGCUCUGUAUACACACACACAGAGGUGCUUUUAUACAAGGGAGAAAUUCCAUUUACAGUAGCCUAGAAUUUAAUUACCCAGCAACACCUUUGUAAUUCAACACUAUACAAAAUUCAUCAGGUGUGUAUUAGAUCAUUUGCUGUUGUUGUUGUUGUUCAAGUAUUCUUCAUGGUAUAUUUCAUAGAAUCUUAACACCAGAGAUUUCACUUUGAAAAACGCAACAUUCCAUAAGUUUCAUGUAAGUAAAACACUACAUCACUUAGGUAACACAGGGGCAUACCAUAUCAUUAUUUCUUCUUCCUAUACCUGGAUGUGGGGAGUGAAGGUGAUGAGAUUUGCAUGAAGAACAGUUUGGGAAUGAGAUCUGAGGUCUUGGUGGUUUGACAAGCCCUGGGGCAAUGAGUUGGGAUGUGUAAAGCCAGAGGAUGUGUGGGCUGUGAGAGGGUCUGCAACACUGUGAUUGGACUAUUUACCUGGAGAGUUUUACAGGGGCCAAUGAGAUUGAAUGUUGUAUGUAUGUGCAGGUUGGGAAAAUACUGAACAAGGGGAUAAAAAGGGCUUAGUUGUAAUAAAGUGGGAUUUGAGUCUCUA